GCGGACAUGGUGCAUGGUGCACCGCUGCUCUCUAUUACAUGCCCAAAAAUUGCACAGCAGCCACUGGGGUUCGAUUCCCCGCGUCCGCA